GACGAACGCUGGCGGCGCGCUUAACACAUGCAAGUCGAACGGAAAGGCCUGCUUUCCCUUGUGGAUUGCGGGUACUCGAGUGGCGAACGGGUGAGUAACACGUGAGUGAUCUGCCCCCAACUUGGGUAUAAGCCUGGGAAACUGGGUCUAAUUCCCGAUAGGACUGCAGGGUGGUGCCUGUGGUGGAAAACGAUUUUCUAGUGGUUGGGGAUGAGCUCGCGGCCUAUCAGCUUGUUGGUGGGGUAAUGGCCUACCAAGGCGGCGACGGGUAGCCGGCCUGAGAGGGUGGACAGCCACAUUGGGACUGAGAUACGGCCCAGACGCCUACGAGAGGCAGCAGUGGGGAAUAUUGCACAAUGGGCGGAAGCCUGAUGCAGCGACGCCGCGUGGGGGAUGACGGCCUUCGGGUUGUAAACUCCUUUCGACCGCGAGGAAGCCACCUGGUUGGAAGGGUGGUGACGGUAGUGGUAGAAGAAGCACCGGCUAACUACGUG
rnacentral:rRNA from 1 species